CAGUAGCCGCGGGAAUACGAAGGGUGCAAGCGUUACUCGGAAUUACUGGGCGUAAAGCGUGCGUAGGUGGUGGUUUAAGUCCGUUGUGAAAGCCCUGGGCUUAACCUGGGAAUUGCAGUGGAUACUGGGUCACUAGAGUGUGGUAGAGGAUAGUGGAAUUUCCGGUGUAGCAGUGAAAUGCGUAGAGAUCGGAAGGAACAUCUGUGGCGAAGGCGACUAUCUGGGCCAACACUGACACUGAGGCACGAAAGCGUGGGGAGCAAACAGGAUUAGAUACCCGUGUAGUCCCUGUCUCUUAUAC
rnacentral:rRNA from 1 species